rnacentral:tRNA from 2 species
GCCGGAGUAGCUCAGGUAGUUAGAGCAUAGCACUCAUAAAGCUAAGGUCACAGGUGCAAGUCCUGUCUCCGGCA